rnacentral:rRNA from 1 species
UACAGAGGGUGCGAGCGUUGUCCGGAAUCACUGGGCGUAAAGGGCGCGUAGGUGGCCCGACAAGUCACUGGUGAAAGCUCGAUGCUCAACAUCGAGUCGGCCAGUGAUACUGUUGGGCUGGAGCACUGUAGAGGCUAAUGGAAUUCCGGGUGUAGCGGUGGAAUGCGUAGAGAUCCGGAAGAACACCGGUGGCGAAGGCGGUUAGCUGGGCAGUUGCUGACACUGAGGCGCGACAGCGUGGGGAGCAAACAGGG